UAUCUACUCCCUCCGUCCCAAAAUUCUUGCCUUAACUUUGUCUAGAAAUGGAUGUAUCUAANNNNUAAAACUUGACUAGAUACAUUCAUAUUUAAACAAAUGUAAGACAAGAAUUUUGGGACGGAGGGAGUAUAUC
rnacentral:pre_miRNA from 1 species